AGUAAUUAUCCCGGGACCUAAAUUCAAAUAGAAAAUGAAUUUUCCGGUGCAGAUUUUCAGCUUCCUGCUAAUCAGUGUCUCAGUUGUAAUGUCCAGAGGAGAAAUUGUGCUCACCCAGUCUCCAGCACUCAUGGCUGCAUCUCCAGGGGAGAAGGUCACCAUGACCUGCAGUGCCAGCUCAAGUGUAAGUACCAGUUACUUGCACUGGUACCAGCAGAAGUCAGGUGCCUCCCCCAAACUCUGGAUUUAUAGCACAUCCAACCUGGCUUCUGGAGUCCCAGCUCGCUUCAGUGGCAGUGGGUCUGGGACCUCUUACUCUCUCACAAUCAGCAGUGUGGAGGCUGAAGAUGUUGCCACUUAUUACUGCUAUCAGCAUAGUAGUUCCCCACCCACACAGUGGUACAGACUGGAACAAAAACACUGUAACUCUAACUCCUUAGGGUUCAGCUACUUCCUCCUAGAGAAAAAAUGUGGUCAGUGGUUUGAUUGCAGUAGUCCACACAGGUUGUUCUGCUUUACAAUGUCCUUUGUAUCUUUGGAUGACUGUCUCUAUGACAUUCCACUGUACUUCAGCACUUUUCUCAAAUAA